rnacentral:hammerhead_ribozyme from 1 species
AUCCAGCUGCCGAUUCGUGGAUAAGACGAAACGUGCGUCCUGGAU